CGAAACCGCGAAUGGCUCAUUAAAUCAGUUAUGGUUCACUAGAUCGUACAGUUUACAUGGAUAACUGUGGUAAUUCUAGAGCUAAUACAUGCAACCAGUCCGUUCCCUCGUGGAGCGGACGCAGUUAUUUGCCCAAGACCAAUCCGGCCCUCGGGUCGGUCAAUUGGUGACUCUGAAUAACCGAAGCGGAGCGCAUGAUCUCGUAUCGGCGCCAGAUCUUUCAAGUGUCUGACUUAUCAGCUUGUUGUUAGGUUAUGUUCCUAACAAGGCUUUUACGGGUAACGGAGUGUCAGGGCCCGACACCGGAGAGGGAGCCUGAGAAACGGCUACCACAUCCAAGGAAGGCAGCAGGCGCGCAAAUUACCCACUCCCGGCACGGGGGGGUAGUGACGAAAAAUAACG
rnacentral:rRNA from 1 species